AAUUAGCAAACAGUCAAUGCCAGUAUUAGAUUAACGUUUAUUGAAAAAGUAUGGAUUUCAGCAGGAAAGAAUGGCACGCAACUAAAGAGGGCAAACAGACAAGCUGGGCGUUUCAUAAAAUGUUUUUGAAGUAUUGACCUUGAGCAAAUCGAUUUAGUGGGAGUUGGACAUUGGUUUAGUUAAUCAGAAACUUCCUUCACCAUGGAUUGGAGUUUAGUCCGCUGAAAUGAAAGCAAACAUCUAUUUAUAGAUCCUCGGGGCUCCCACCCUCAUCAGACCGUGAGGCUGCCUGAGAGACCGGCCCAUUCAACAUCACCAGCUGGCACCAUAGGCAGCUCUAUGUGAUGAGCCAGAGCAAACAAUAAGCAUCACUGCAGCUGUUGUAUCCACUGCUCUCCCACAAGCAACCACCUCCUCUUCUCCUGUUCAACUCAUUUUACGUCAGACUGAAAAGGACUGUACAUACAUACCCCUGUGCUCAUCUCAUUGCAACAUGAUCCAUCCAAGGCCUCAGCUGGAUGCCU